CAGAAAAUAAUAUAGAAAGUAUAUAAAUUUUGGAGAUUUAAAGUGAGAAAUCUUUUCUGA
rnacentral:tRNA from 1 species